AACAGACUCAGAUGCAGGUAUUAUGUCUUGUCUGAAACAAUGGCAGGAUAGAGAAAAGCAAAAAAGCGAAAUUUCACGGAGGUUGAAGUGGAGACACUUGUGGGUGAGGUGGAGGCCCGAAAAGUAAUUUUGUUCGGCGGUCACGGGACUGGGAUCACUAACAUUAAAAAGCAGAGUGAGUGGCAACAUGUUGCUGCGGCAGUGAACUCUGUCAGUGGCACGGAGCACACAGUCCCAGAAUUAAAAAAGAAGUGGUCUGACAUAAAGGUGGGUGCAAAGCAGAGGCUGUCCUCACACCGCCAGAGCGUGAAUGCAACUGGAGGGGGACCCAGUACUCCUGACCUAACACCAAUUGACACGAAAGUUGCAUCCAUAAUUGGCACCGCAAGCGUGAGUGGCAUCGUGUCCGAAAGGGAAGGAGACACUGACAACACAGAAGAACAAGGUACUGCAGGGCCAACUUUGUUGCCGUUAAUCCAUCUUCGGGUUCGUGUUCUCUCACCCACGUCCUGGUGUCAGGAGGAAGCACCAGAAGCAGCUGCUCCAAGAUGAUGGACUCCGCCAACUCUUCUUUGCUCCUCCGCUCCGGCCGCAUCCAACGCCGGUAGAGGCCCUUCAACCUGUGGUACGCCUCCGAUUGUGUCUCCCCAGGUGGUCCUGAAGUAGCCCGAAACCGCUGACGAUACAUCUCUGGAGAGAUGUCAAAAUUGUCCAACAGCGCCUCCCUCAGGUCCUGAUCGAGAGGUCCCUGAACUGGCCAGCCAUAGAGGAGCUCGAAGGGGGAGAAUCCUGUGUAGGCUUGAGGCACUUCCCUGUAUGCAAAGAGAAGAAAUGCGACUGCUCGUCAAUUUGAACGCAAGUUGACUGAAUUGCAGUACAGGGGUGCACUGCAGUAGUGGCUGCAUUACGCACCUGAGAGGAGUGGCGGGGUACCAAGAAAAGGCAAAGAGAUAUAAGGACAUAUGCUAUUGUAAUGUUUUGAAUUAUAGGGUUAUUAGGGUUAAUGUUCAUAAUUCCUUAAGAUGUUUGUUUGUAAUUGCUUUUGAAUAUUUAUUAAAUAACUUUUUGAAU
ensembl:lncRNA